UACAGGGGGUGCAAACGUUGCUCGGAAUCAUUGGGCGUAAAGCGCACGUAGGCGGUUCGUUAUGUCGGAUGUGAAAGCCCUUGGCUUAACCGAGGAAGUGCAUCCGAAACUGGCGAGCUAGAGUACGGAAGAGGAUCGCGGAAUUCCCGGUGUAGAGGUGAAAUUCGUAGAUAUCGGGAGGAACACCUGUGGCGAAAGCGGCUCACUGGACCAUAACUGACGCUGAUGCACGAAAGCUAGGGGAGCAAACAGG
rnacentral:rRNA from 1 species